GCCCUUAGAGUUUGAUCAUGGCUCAGGACGAACGCUGGCGGCGUGCCUAAUACAUGCAAGUCGAGCGCGGGAAGCAAGAUGACCCCUUCGGGGUGAUUCUUGUGGAACGAGCGGCGGACGGGUGAGUAACACGUGGGCAACCUGCCUGUAAGACUGGGAUAACUCGCGGAAACGUGAGCUAAUACCGGAUAACACUUUUCUUUACCUAAGGAGAAGUUGAAAGGCGGCCCUUUGAGCUGUCACUUACAGAUGGGCCCGCGGCGCAUUAGCUAGUUGGUAGGGUAAUGGCCUACCAAGGCGACGAUGCGUAGCCGACCUGAGAGGGUGAUCGGCCACACUGGGACUGAGACACGGCCCAGACUCCUACGGGAGGCAGCAGUAGGGAAUCUUCCGCAAUGGACGAAAGUCUGACGGAGCAACGCCGCGUGAACGAUGAAGGUUUUCGGAUCGUAAAGUUCUGUUGUUAGGGAAGAACAAGUACCGUUCAAAUAGGGCGGUGCCUUGACGGUACCUAACGAGGAAGCCCCGGCUAACUACGUGCCAGCAGCCGCGGUAAUACGUAGGGGGCAAGCGUUGUCCGGAAUUAUUGGGCGUAAAGCGCGCGCAGGCGGUUUUUUAAGUCUGAUGUGAAAUCUUGUGGCUCAACCACAAGCGGUCAUUGGAAACUGGAGAACUUGAGUACAGAAGAGGAGAGUGGAAUUCCACGUGUAGCGGUGAAAUGCGUAGAUAUGUGGAGGAACACCAGUGGCGAAGGCGACUCUCUGGUCUGUAACUGACGCUGAGGCGCGAAAGCGUGGGGAGCGAACAGGAUUAGAUACCCUGGUAGUCCACGCCGUAAACGAUGAGUGCUAGGUGUUAGGGGGUUUCCGCCCCUUAGUGCUGCAGUUAACGCAUUAAGCACUCCGCCUGGGGAGUACGGCCCC
rnacentral:rRNA from 1 species